AGCUUGACUUAGAAACCUGUUUGCUGAUAGCAUUAUCCCCUUAUUGGAGUUCCUUUUUCGGUUGGAUGAUUGUACAAGUUCGGGAUCGCUAGAAAGAGGAAAUAGUUCAGGGAAUACCGCUGAUUAUGCUGGAGAGUGGAACCUGGUUGGCUGUUGGUUGCCAUGGAAAAUAUUUGUUACUGACUGUUUCCUGUGUUGAUUUCAUUGUUAAAGUUUUUCUUUGCUGCUGACUGCUGAGGGAAAUAAAGAAUGAG